ACAAGCAAAUAAAUUAAAACCCCCCCCACCGGAUCUCUUGGCUCUGGCAUCGAUGAAGAACGCAGCGAAAUGCGAUAAGUAAUGUGAAUUGCAGAAUUCAGUGAAUCAUCGAAUCUUUGAACGCACAUUGCGCCCGCCAGUAUUCUGGCGGGCAUGCCUGUUCGAGCGUCAUUACAACCCUCAGGCCCCCGGGCCUGGCGUUGGGGAUCGGCGGAAGCCCCCUGCGGGCACAACGCCGUCCCCCAAAUACAGUGGCGGUCCCGCCGCAGCUUCCAUUGCGUAGUAGCUAACACCUCGCAACUGGAGAGCGGCGCGGCCACGCCGUAAAACACCCAACUUCUGAAUGUUGACCUCGAAUCAGGUAGGAAUACCCGCUGAACUUAAGCAUAUCAAUAAGCGGAGGAA
rnacentral:rRNA from 1 species